UACGUAGGGUGCAAGCGUUGUCCGGAAUUAUUGGGCGUAAAGCGCACGUAGGCGGCUUUGCAAGUCCGAUGUGAAAGCCCUCGGCUUAACCGAGGAAGUGCAUCGGAAACUGCAGAGCUUGAGUACUUAAGAGGAUCGCGGAAUUCCCGGUGUAGAGGUGAAAUUCGUAGAUAUCGGGAGGAACACCAGUGGCGAAGGCGGCGAUCUGGGAAGAUACUGACGCUGAGGUGCGAAAGCGUGGGGAGCAAACAGG
rnacentral:rRNA from 1 species